rnacentral:rRNA from 1 species
GACGGUAGGGCGCGAGCGUUUGUCCGGAUUUAUUGGGGCGUAAAGAGCUCGGUAGGCGGCUUGUCGCGUCGUUUCGUGAAAAACCUGCAGCUCAACUGCAGGCUUGCGGUCGAUACGGGCAGGCUGGGAGGUUCGGUAGGGGAGACUGGAAUUCCUGGUGUAGCGGUGAAAUGCGCAGAUAGUCAGGAGGAACACCGGUGGCGAAGGCGG